rnacentral:rRNA from 1 species
UACGUAGGGUGCAAGCGUUGUCCGGAAUCACUGGGCGUAAAGGGCGCGUAGGCGGCUCAUGAAGGCUGUGGUGAAAGUCCGGGGCUCAACCUCGGAUCGGCCGUGGCGACUCGUGGGCUGGAGCACUGUAGAGGCAGGUGGAAUUCCGGGUGUAGCGGUGGAAUGCGUAGAGAUCCGGAAGAACACCAGUGGCGAAGGCGGCCUGCUGGGCAGUGGCUGACGCUGAGGCGCGACAGCGUGGGGAGCAAACAGG